AAUCCACUCGCCUAACGAGUGGGCGUCCGGCGGAAACUACAGGGCUUGGGACCGAAAGACUUGAGGGGUACGUCUGGGGUAGGAGUGAAAUCCUGUAAUCCUGGGCGGACCGCCGAUAGCGAAAGCACCUCAAGACGACGGAUCCGACAGUGAGGGACGAAAGCUAGGGUCUCGAACCGGAUUAGAUACCCGGGUAGUCC
rnacentral:rRNA from 1 species